rnacentral:rRNA from 1 species
GACAGAGGAUGCAAGUGUUAUCCGGAAUCACUGGGCGUAAAGCGUCUGUAGGUGGUUUAAUAAGUCAACUGUUAAAUCUUGAGGCUCAACCUCAAAAAUCGCAGUCGAAACUAUUAGGCUAGAGUAUAGUAGGGGUAAAGGGAAUUUCCAGUGGAGCGGUGAAAUGCGUAGAGAUUGGAAAGAACACCGAUGGCGAAGGCACUUUACUGGGCUAUUACUAACACUCAGAGACGAAAGCUAGGGUAGCAAAUGGGA